rnacentral:rRNA from 1 species
CCCUUAGAUGUUCUGGGCUGCACGCGCGCUACACUGAUGCACUCAACGAGUUUACGACCUUGCCCGAUAGGGUUGGGUAAUCUUUUUAAAAUGCAUCGUGAUGGGGAUAGAUUAUUGCAAUUAUUAAUCUUCAACGAGGAAUUCCUAGUAAGCGCGAGUCAUCAGCUCGUGCUGAUUACGUUCCUGCCCUUUGUACACACCGCCCGUCGCUCCUACCGAUUGAGUGCUCAGGUGAAUAAUUCGGACUGCAGCAAUGUUUGGAUCCCGAACGUUGCAGCGGAAAGUUUAGUGAACCUUAUCACUUAGAGGAAGGAGAAGUCGUAACA